rnacentral:rRNA from 1 species
AGUGAACGCUGGCGGUAGGCCUAACACAUGCAAGUCGAGCGGCAGCACAGUAAGAGCUUGCUCUUACGGGUGGCGAGUGGCGGACGGGUGAGGAAUACAUCGGAAUCUACUUUUUCGUGGGGGAUAACGUAGGGAAACUUACGCUAAUACCGCAUACGACCUACGGGUGAAAGCAGGGGAUCUUCGGACCUUGCGCGAUUGAAUGAGCCGAUGUCGGAUUAGCUAGUUGGCGGGGUAAAGGCCCACCAAGGCGACGAUCCGUAGCUGGUCUGAGAGGAUGAUCAGCCACACUGGAACUGAGACACGGUCCAGACUCCUACGGGAGGCAGCAGUGGGGAAUAUUGGAAAAUGGGCGCAAGCCUGAUCCAGCCAUACCGCGUGGGUGAAGAAGGCCUUCGGGUUGUAAAGCCCUUUUGUUGGGAAAGAAAAGCAGAAGGUUAAUACCCCGCUGUUCUGACGGUACCAAAAGAAUAAGCACCGGCUAACUUCGUG